rnacentral:SRP_RNA from 13 species
UCUCAGUCUGGAACACCACUCGUACCCUUGAUACCUCGGCCCUUGAGGUUGGAGUUGUACAGCUGGCACUUGGAGGGAACCGGAAUCAUCCUUAGGUUGGC